ACACGGGGGGCGCAAGCGUUAUUCGGAAUUAUUGGGCGUAAAGGGCGCGUAGGCGGUCUUGUCGGUCAGAUGUGAAAGCCCAGGGCUCAACCCUGGACGUGCAUUUGAAACAGCAAGACUUGAGUACGGGAGAGGAAAGCGGAAUUCCUGGUGUAGAGGUGAAAUUCGUAGAUAUCAGGAGGAAUACCGAUGGCGAAGGCAGCUUUCUGGACCGAUACUGACGCUGAGGCGCGAAGGCGUGGGUAGCGAACAGGAUUAGAAACCCUAGUAGUCC
rnacentral:rRNA from 1 species